UCUAAAGGUUAUAGCCAGUAUGAUUCCAUUUAAAUAACAUUCUUGAAAUAUCAAAAUUUUAGUGAUAGAGAACAAAUUUGUGGUUGUCAAGGGGGUUGGGGAUUGGGUGGCAGAUGGCAUGAGUCUGUUAAGAGUCAGCAUGAGGGAGCCCUGAGCCAAUGGAACAGUUCUGGAUCUUGAUUGCGGAGGUGGUGACACAAAGCUACAGGUGUGAUAAAAUUGCACAGAACUAUGUACAUACAAAAAUGCGUGCUUAUAAAACUGGUGCAAUCUAACAGGUUCUGUGCAUUCCACCAACGUCAGUUUGUUGGUUUUGAUAUUGGGGAGGCUGGGUGAAGGGUAUUCAUUUUUUUCCCAACCUCCUGUGAAUCUACAAUUGUUUCAAAAUAAGAAACAUUCCUCCUACACACACACACACACACAAGCUGGGAAUUCCCUGGUGGCCCAGCAAGUUAAGGAUCUGGCAUUGUCACUGCAGCAGCCAGGGUUGCUGCUGUGGCAAGGGUUUGAUCCCUGGCCCAGGAACAUGCUGCAAGUGUGGACACACACACAAAAAAAGGCCAGAUAAAAUAUUUUUAAUAGUGAAUUUGUUUUUAUAGGCAGUAUUGUUUGUAUCUAAUGCCACUAAAAAUCUGUUUCGAAAAUAAUGGAUCAAUGUGUUUUGCCUCUAACAGUCAUAAAUAAUUCCUUUAUUUUGGGAUGGGCACUUCUCCCUGAUUAAUACCUAAUAUGAAUAGUGCUUUACAGUUCACACAGGUUUUCACAGGCAUUGUUUCACUGGAAACUAUUAGUCCUGCCGUGGUACUCUGAUUGGUAUCUCCAUUUUAUGGAUGAGAAAACCAAGGCUCAGACCUAAAAACUUUGCACCUUAAUUAAGAAGCAGAGCUCAGCGGAGUUCCCGUUGUGGCUCAGUGGGUUAAGAAUCCGACUAGUAUCCAUGAGGAUGCAGGUUCAACCCCUGGCCUCACUCAAUGGGUCAAGGAUCUGCAGUUGCCGCAAGCUACAGUGUGGGUUGAGGAUGCGGCUGUGGUGUAGGCUGGCAGCUACAGCUCUGAUUCGACCCCUAGCCUGGGAACCUCCAUAUGCCGUGGGUGCAGCCCUAAAAAGACCAAAAAAGAAAAAAAAAAAGGAAACAAAUAAAUAAAUAAAUGGUUGUUUUACAGCACUGAAAAAAAAAAAAGUAGAGCUCAGGGAUUCAGGACCUAGUUCCCCAGAUUCCAACUUUCCCCUCUUCCUCUUUUUCCACCAAUGAUAUAUGUUUGAAUAACUGUUUGGAAAUCCCAAAUUAACCCAAAUGUAGGCUGAUAUUCAGAUUCUGUAUCCACUCUCCCCUCUAGAGGGCUGCGACCUCCCAACCAGCUCCAAGAGGCUAAUUAGCACUGCUUUUGAAAAACUCAAGGUGGACUAAGAGAGAAAAGAAAAUCUGUUGGUUGUUGCUCAUUUGCGGAUGUUUUCCUUGCAAAACCACAUCAAAGCUGGGAAGCCCACCGUGGACUUGGCGGGUAACCAAAGCUCGCUGGCCAAUCUGAGAAGCAGCAAGUUCCAUCAGGCAGAAAACCAUUUUAUCUUCUGGGCCCAGAUUCCUCCCUUAAAACUGAUGGAGGUGGAACAUGCCCCCAGCACAAGGGUCCUAAGCCCCACACAAGCCUGCUUGGGACAGGAGAUGAGCUUCCAGACAAACCCCAUAGAUUGUCAGUGGUGCCUACCAGGUGCAGGGCACAUGGGAUGGCAGAUGGGACCUUGGGACCAGCCCCAUCACAUUCACGUACUAAAACAUGAAAAGGGAGGAGUUCCCACUGUAGCUCAGUGAUAACGAACCCGACGGUAUCCACGAGGAUGUGGGUUCGAUCCCUGGCCUUGCUCAGUGGAUUAAGGAUCUGGCGUUACCAUGAGCUGUGGUGUAGGUCGCAGAUGUGGCUCAGAUCUGAGUUGCUGUGGCUGUGCUGUAAGCAGGUAGCUGCAGUUCCGAUUUGACCCCUAGCCUGCGAACCUCUAUAUGCUCCAGGUGUGGCCCUAAAAAGACAAAAAAAAAAUAAAUAAAUAAAUAAAUGAAAAUGGGUUUUCGUCUUCCUGAAAGGCAUUAUCAAACACAUGUUCAUUGUUUUGGGAAGAAUAACCAGAGGGGCCAUCGUGUUAGAAGCUAAGCGUGUGUUCUGCAGGGCCAUGAGGGAAGCACACAGUAAAACUGCCCUAGGUCCCACCCCCUCCUCCCCAAACAGCUUGCCAGGAAAUCCCAGCAUUCAGAACACAAAGAGAAACCUCUCCAGGGAGGAGUCCAGAUUUGAUGUGAAGGAAACAUGGGAUUUACAGGUUCCAAGUGUGGGAGUUGGGGGGCGGGCUGUCCUGGGGAGGGCAUUUCAGCAAGAGGACCAAGGACACUCAGCUGGGCUGUGGAUGCUCCAUCUCUCUGCAGGCAGUUGUGUUCCCAUUCAUCCCCUAGGCUACGCCCUGAGCUUCUUGGGGGCUGGGUCCGUGGCUUUCAUCUUUAUAUAUUCCAAGUCUCUAGCACCCACCGUACCUGCUAGAGACUUGGAAUAUAAAGUCUCUUGGCAGUUAAUAGGCCUCAAUACACUUUGAGUGAAAGAACAGCUUAGGGUCUUAGUAACAGACUCAUCAGUGAUUUCUGAGCUGUGGCGGUGACACAAUUUUACCUAUGUUUUAGGAACGCCACCCCUGCCUAAGCUCUGGCCAUAGGAUGAGAUUUGGGGGAUUUUAACUGGGUAUUCCAAAUCUGAGAGGAUAAGACAAGUCACUUUCAUCUUUCCUCACCCCCCAGUUUGACCUCUGGUCCUGUAAAUAAAGAGCCCAAUUAAGGCUUGGGGCAGAUGGGAUCUGAAAGGCCUCGGGCUAUGGGGAGAUCUGAGGUUUCAACAAAAUGUGACUGUCAUCUUCCCAUUCAUUGUGCCUUUCAGGAACCUUGGACUUGAUAAAUCUGUGUGGAUUCAUUAAAUGAAAAUACCUGGGGAAUUUCAUAACUAUGGCGAGCACUUUUCGGUUUAUCGCAUUUUUUUCUCUCUUCUCUUGUUAGAAGAAUUCUUCUCCAUAUAAAUCUUGGUGAGGGAGUUCCCUUUAAGGACCUGAUCUAGUCUACGUGAGGAUGCAGAUUCGAUCCCUGGCCUCGCUUGGUGGGUUAAGGAUCUGGCAUUGCCACAAGCUGCAGUGUAGGUCACAAACUGGGCUCAGAUCCAGUGUUGCUGUGGCUGUGGCA
rnacentral:lncRNA from 1 species